GUUUGUAAAGUCUGCAAGCGGAUAUUUUGACCUCUUUGAGGCCUUCGUUGGAAAUGGGAUUUCUUCAUAUAAUGCUAGACAGAAGAAUUCUCAGUAACUGCUUUGCGUUUUGUGUAUUCAACUCACAGAGUUGAACCUUCCUUUAGACAGAGCAGAUUUGAAACACUCUUUUUGUGGAAUUUGCAAGUGGAGAUUUCAAGAGAUUUGAGACCAAUGGUAGAAAGGAAAUAUCUUCGUAUAAAAACUAGACAGAAUCAUUCUCAGAAACUACUUUGUGAUGUGUGUGUUCAACUCACAGAGUUUAACCUUUCUUUUCAUAGAGCAGUUUGGAAACCCUCUG
rnacentral:lncRNA from 10 species